AGCGGCGGACGGGUGAGUAACGCGUGGGAACGUGCCCUCUUCUGCGGGAUAGCCUCUGGAAACGGAGAGUAAUACCGCAUACGCCCUUUUGGGGAAAGAUUUAUCGGAGGAGGAUCGGCCCGCGUUGGAUUAGGUAGUUGGUGGGGUAAUGGCCUACCAAGCCGACGAUCCAUAGCUGGUUUUAGAGGAUGAUCAGCCACACUGGGACUGAGACACGGCCCAGACUCCUACGGGAGGCAGCAGUGGGGAAUCUUAGACAAUGGGCGCAAGCCUGAUCUAGCCAUGCCGCGUGAGUGACGAAGGUCUUAGGAUCGUAAAGCUCUUUCGCCUGUGAAGAUAAUGACGGUAGCAGGUAAAGAAACCCCGGCUAACUCCGUGCCAGCAGCCGCGGUAAUACGGAGGGGGUUAGCGUUGUUCGGAAUUACUGGGCGUAAAGCGCACGUAGGCGGAUCAGAAAGUUGGGGGUGAAAUCCCGGGGCUCAACCCCGGAACUGCCUCCAAAACUUCUGGUCUGGAGUUCGAGAGAGGUGAGUGGAAUUCCGAGUGUAGAGGUGGAAUUCGUAGAUAUUCGGAGGAACACCAGUGGCGAAGGCGGCUCACUGGCUCGAUACUGACGCUGAGGUGCGAAAGUGUGGGGAGCAAACAGGAUUAGAUACCCUGGUAGUCCACACCGUAAACGAUGAAUGCCAGUCGUCGGGUA
rnacentral:rRNA from 1 species